UGAUAGCAUGGUUUACCUCAGAUAUGCUGU
rnacentral:piRNA from 1 species